GUGUCCCCUCCCAGCUUUUUGUGCACUUCCAGCCUCCUUGCUGGCAUUACAGCAUGAGAAGCUGAAAAGUCCUCAACUUAGUGUAAGCACUUCUCAGCAACCACUAAAACAUGAGUGUUAUGAACAUUCUUAUGCUAAAUUUAAAGC